AAGACCGUACUUUAUAGGAUCAUUUCUAUAGUAUGCGUCCCGUCUUUGUUUUUCAACUUAGACAACACUCACAGCCACGAUGACGAGAUUUAACGUCGUCUUCUGAGCGGGAAGCGGGUUAAAGUUCGCACGGUUAACGUCGGACUUUAACCAUUGAUGACCGUUCUUGACUCGUCUUAAGAUGAGCAGGAGGAAGGCGACGUAAUCCGAGUGGU